CCUACGGGAGGCAGCAGUGGGGAAUAUUGCACAAUGGGGGAAACCCUGAUGCAGCGACGCCGCGUGAGUGAAGAAGUAUCUCGGUAUGUAAAGCUCUAUUAGCAGGGAAGAAAAUGAAGGUACCUGAAUAAGAAGCCCCGGCUAACUACGUGCCAGCAGCCGCGGUAAUACGAAGGGGGCAAGCGUUAUCCGGAUUUACUGGGUGUAAAGGGAGCGUAGGCGGCAGCACAAGUCUGGAGUGAAAUGCCGGGGCUCAACCCCGGAACUGCUUUGGAAACUGUGAGGCUAGAGUGCAGGAGAGGUAAGUGGAAUUCCUAGUGUAGCGGUGAAAUGCGUAGAUAUUAGGAGGAACACCAGUGGCGAAGGCGGCUUACUGGACUUUAACUGACGUUGAGGCACGAAAGCGUGGGGAGCAAACAGGAUUAGAUACCCGUGUAGUC
rnacentral:rRNA from 1 species